rnacentral:rRNA from 1 species
AGUGAACGCUGGCGGUAGGCCUAACACAUGCAAGUCGAACGGCAGCACAGUAAGAGCUUGCUCUUACGGGUGGCGAGUGGCGGACGGGUGAGGAAUACACCGGAAUCUACUUUUUCGUGGGGGAUAACGUAGGGAAACUUACGCUAAUACCGCAUACGACCUACGGGUGAAAGCAGGGGAUCUUCGGACCUUGCGCGAUUGAAUGAGCCGAUGUCGGCUUGGCUGGUUGGCGGGCUAAAGGCCAACCAAGGCGACGAUCGGUAGCUGGUCUGAGAGGAUGAUCACCCACGCUGGAACUGGAGCACGGUCCAGACUCCUGCGAGAGGCAGAAGUGGGGAAUAUUGGACAAUGGGCGCAAGCCUGAUCCAGCCAUACCGCGUGGGUGAAGAAGGCCUUCGGGUUGUAAAGCCCUUUUGUUGGGAAAGAAAAGCAGCAGGUUAAUACCCCGCUGUUCUGACGGUACCCAAAGGAUAAGCACCGGCUAACUUCGUG